rnacentral:rRNA from 1 species
UAGUGGCGAACGGGUGAGUAACACGUGGGCAAUCUGCCCUGCACUCUGGGACAAGCCCUGGAAACGGGGUCUAAUACCGGAUAACACUGUCCCCCUCCUGGGGGACGGUUGAAAGCUCCGGCGGUGCAGGAUGAGCCCGCGGCCUAUCAGCUUGUUGGUGGGGUAAUGGCCUACCAAGGCGACGACGGGUAGCCGGCCUGAGAGGGCGACCGGCCACACUGGGACUGAGACACGGCCCAGACUCCUACGGGAGGCAGCAGUGGGGAAUAUUGCACAAUGGGCGAAAGCCUGAUGCAGCGACGCCGCGUGAGGGAUGACGGCCUUCGGGUUGUAAACCUCUUUCAGCAGGGAAGAAGCGAAAGUGACGGUACCUGCAGAAGAAGCGCCGGCUAACUACGUGCCAGCAGCCGCGGUAAUACGUAGGGCGCAAGCGUUGUCCGGAAUUAUUGGGCGUAAAGAGCUCGUAGGCGGUCUGUCACGUCGGGUGUG